GAGAGAGAACAUUUUCAAAAUGACUAUGGUUGCCCCUCGACUAGCCCGUGACCCACUCAAGCCCGAUCCGGUGCGCGACCUAGACAGGCCAUUCAGUCCCCUCACUCCCCCACCGCUUCCGCCGCUCCUCUGCUAGCCGCCGCCCACUGAGUCUCCCUCGAGCUCGCAGAUCUCGUCUUCGAAGGCCGCCCUCCUCUCAUUCUGCAUGAAGACCAAAUCAACGAGGUCUUGAAGAUGUCAUCACCGAGAGGGAAGAAGCGCAUGUCCCCAUCUGUGGGGUCCCCGUCCAAGGUGCUAAAUAUGUCCUGGGUACCCGAAGGGAUGGAUAGUAAUCCCAGGCUGGAGCAUGUUCCAUUACCACUGUUAUCCAAGAGUCCUGCUGUUAACACUAAGAGCAAGAGAGGACGGAGGAAGAAGACCAGCGUUGGGGAAGGAGUGACUGGCUACGGGCGACUGUUUUUUUUUUUUUUUUUUGAUCAGCACUACGGGCGACUGGGUUGGGUUCAACGAAGUAGGCAAGCCAGGGGUAAAAUCGACCAAUGCAAAUAUUUUCUCUCUCUGAUUCCAGCAAAAAUCAUAUUCUAGUGGAGGUGGUGUGCUACAGCUAAGGAUCCUGUUUUUGUAAUGGUACUCAGCCAAUACUGAAGUUGGCAGUGUGCUCCAGCAAAAUACAUAUUUCUACAAUGUGCUACGCCAAAAUUUGCCUAGUUUAUGACAGUGGGUACUGAAUUUAUUUGUUA